UACGUAGGGAGCAAGCGUUGUCCGGAUUUAUUGGGCGUAAAGAGCUCGUAGGCGGCUUAGAAAGUCAGGUGUGAAACCUCCAGGCUCAACCUGGAGUCGCCACUUGAUACUUCUAUGGCUUGAGUUCGGUAGGGGAUCACGGAAUUCCUGGUGUAGCGGUGAAAUGCGCAGAUAUCAGGAGGAACACCGAUGGCGAAGGCAGUGAUCUGGGCCGAUACUGACGCUGAGGAGCGAAAGCGUGGGGAGCGAACAGG
rnacentral:rRNA from 1 species